rnacentral:ncRNA from 1 species
CUGGCACAACGGCUUCCUGGCGUGGCAGUCGAAAUUCAAUGGAGCG